rnacentral:lncRNA from 1 species
GUUUUAAAUUCAUUUAUUUAUUUGCUCAACAAAUAUUCAUUGAGCCCCUCUGGGAUGUAAGACACCUUUCUCAGUAUUGAGGAUGCGGCAGUGAGUAAGAUCUCCACCCUCCUUGGGCUUUUCUUUUAGUUAGGAAAAAAUACAAUAAAAAUUAACAGAAAGUAUUCAAGUUUGUAAAAUAAAAAUAAGGCAAGGGAUAGAUAUAGAGCAGAAUUAUAAAUUCAGCAGAUACUAUUAAAGAUAAUGGUGACUAGCAAAGGAUCACAGGACUCAUUUUGACAAAUUGAGUAAAGGAAGGACAAGCUAAAGCAAGUGGGAAAAGAAGGUGAAAUUAAUUAAAGAAUAAAAAUGCAAAUAGAAAAAUAUAAUCACAUUAGGAUGGAAAAGAAUAUUCAAUGAUACAUAGGAAGUUUUAACUUUUUUAACUUAGUGAUGGUGGGGCAUACAAAUAUACAUACAGUGUUAACGUUUCCAGUAAAGAGAACAUGUAUAUGAGUGUGUAUGAAUAUAUGUGUGUUUGUGAGUGCCCACGUGUCAAAAUGGACAAGGAUUUCAAUAAGAAAUUGGUUUUAGACUCACUGAUCAGGCCAAGGAAAGAGACUCUUCUUAUUUUAAGAAAAUAUCUUAAAAAAUCAGGAUGAUGAGUAAGAACAGCGACAGCAUCAAUAAACUGCUAUUUUUGUGGAUGAAGUGGUUUUAGUUAAUUGCAUCUACUAUUUUGUCUCUGUAAUAUUGUAUACCUCCUAUUUUGCAUGUAAGCAAACUGAGCCUCAGAGAAUUAACUUUCUAAGUCUCAGUUUCAUCUAAGAAGCAGUAGAUUAAUAUUCACUAUUCACCAUGGGGCUGUUCUAGUAAGAAUAUGCUGAAUUAGUCUUCCAUAUCUCAAUGGCACUACACAACUACGUGGUACUUUCCAUGCAUGCUGCACAGGCACUGUGAGUUGGUUGAAUGCUCUGUACCAUGCAAUUACAGAGCAACUUCAGCUAAUGGGGACUCCAGCAUCUUGGCAUCCUCGCUGGGUGGAGCAGAAGUGAGCAUGGAGCUUCCACUCAUAAACCCUUUGGCUUGCUAGCCACAACUGAUCACCUAGUUUUACGUAAGUGCAAGGGGUGGCUGGAAGUAGAGGUUCCAAGAAGGUGCAGAAAGCUGUCUAUUAGUGAGCAUUAAUAAUGUAUGUUAGUGUUUAACAAGAAGUUGCUGGUAAAGCGUUUUGUGCAGUGGCUAUCACAUGGAAAAUUUUCCAAUAAAAGAAAUAUACUAUUACAGUUAUAAAUAAUGUCCAUUAGAAUAAGCAUUACAUAACUCCUUCAAAUCAAAAGACAUAUAUUUGAAUAUGUGAUAGCAAUCAAAUAUUAUCUAAAAUUAGGAAGGUGGGUCCAUAGGAACUGAAUAUAUAUUUUUAAAAAUGGAAAUUGAAGGAGAAAGAAAGACGUCACAGUUUUUGCUUACUGAUAGUAGGUAAAUGUACUUCACAAAAGUGUAUACAUUUUGCAUAGGUUUCUGUAAGAUAGCAAACUUCUGGUCCGACAGAAUCAGAAUGUUUCUCUUUGUCCACUUGUGAAGAGCUCAGAAGAGCAGCACAGAUGAAAACAUAGAGAAAAGUCUCAAGGAAAGAAAUUAAAUAAAAAAUUUUAGAUAAGAAAAUUGUUUUUUACAGCUACAAAGAAAUUAAUGAAAAGCAUAUGUUACAGAAAAAAAAGUAAAGAAAAAAAGUGAGAAAAAAUGAACUACCCAUAAAAUCUUUCUGUAGAGACCAGGGCAAAGUGAUUAGAGAUGUACUAGAAAGCAAGGACAAACGCCACAGAUUUAUAUCUGAAUGUAUAGGACUAAAACAAGAUGGUGGGAAGGUUGAAGGAGAAACAGCUAGGUCACAACGGCAACAAACAAGCAAUUUUAGAAAAUUCAGUUCCUUAUGGAACUCUUUAAAAACACAAAAAUUAGACUUUUUUCUGUUUGUUUUUCCAGACACAGGUAGAGAUUUAAUGAGAGAAUGGGGAUAUUAGUCAGAGUGAAGAGCCAAUUUAACAAAACAUGUUGCAGCUUGGGAGUUGAGAGAUAGCAUGAAGCUGUGGAGAGGAGCCACCUGUGGGCCCACAGGGUCCUGGCCGCCCUUUGAAUCUCCACGUAAAUCCCGAAGUCUGCCAGCACCAACCUUUCGCUGCCUUCUUCAGUAGCACGAUGGGGAAAGGUGAAAUGUUCAGCACAAGAAUGAAGGGCCUAUUAGAUGAAGUAUGUCAGUGAUAUUUAAUAAAAGUGAUAGGAAAGGAUAUUAGAAUCUGGGAGUGGGGUUCAUUUGCAUCUGCAAGCAGGGAUUACAGAUUUUCCUAGAACUUUCCUUAUUAAGGCUGGAGGCAUGAUAAGGUAUUGCCACAGAAGAUGCAGUUCUUUAGUGAACGAUAUGGUUUGGCUCUGUGUCCUCACCCAAAUCUCAUCUGGAAUUGUAAUCCUCAAGUGUUGAGGCAGGAAUCUGGUGGCAUGUAUUUGGAUUAUGGGGGUGGUUUCCUCGACUCUGUUCUUGUGAUUUCUCAUGAGAUCUGACAAUUUAAAAGUGUGGCACUUCCAUUUGCUCUUUGUCUCCUGUCGCCAUGUAAGAUGUGCCUUGCUUCCCCUUCAGCCAUAAUUGUAAGUUUCCUGAGGCCUCCCCAGCCAUGCAGAACUAUGAGUCAAUUAAAGCUCUUUUUCUUUAUACAUUACCCAGUGUUGGGUAUGUCUUUGUAGCAGUGUGAAAUGGACUAAUACAGAUGCACUGAUACCACAGUAAGACACUAACUUUUAAUGAGCAAUUAUGUCCCAGGCAUGAUUCUGAACAUUUCCUGUACAUCAUCUGAUUUAAUCCUUAUACUACAGGACAUCUUGUAUUCCUGUAUGUAUUAUGGAAUAUAAUUACAAUUUGGAAGAUAGCACACUUCACAAGAAGAAAGAGAGCUUGGCAUGAUUGAUAUAGAAUUGUUUUUAGGUAUGAUGUUUUAUUUUUUAAUAUUAAAGCAGAAAAUAAUUUAAGAUAAUGACUACUCAGGUUCAAUUUCUACCAGGUAUUACUGUAAUAUAAGAAAGUGUUUUGCAAAUGGAACAUUUUAAAACAAAAAACCAAGCCAUGAAAAGAACAUUAUAAGGAUAGUUAAUCCUAAGGAAUUGAAAAUUGUGGGAAGGCAGAAAAUUAUUGCUUAGGAAAAUAUAAAGCAUGCUUCUAGGUAAAUGAGAAAAUACCAGUUUUGAAGAUGGAGUUAUUAAAAUAUAUUUAUAAGGCAACAAUAAUAAAUUAAUAGCUACUAUUUACUGAGUAACUACUGUGUGUCUGUCACUGCUGUAAUAUUUUUAUAUGGGCUAUUUUAUUUAAUCUUGAAAAUAUCCCUGCUAGGCAGGUGAUUUUAGAGGGACUUGAAUAAAACAAAGGUUCAUAUGUGAUGCCUUACACUCUGAGCUGUGGGUAAGGGUAAAAUGAGUUUCAGGUUGAGAGGGAUAGUCUCAAACUAAAUCAAGAAUAUAGAGAAGAGAUGACACCAUGACAUGUAGCAUCCAACUGUGCUACUUUAAAAGACUUUGAAAGGCUUUUAAAGCCAAUUAUCUAAGAUCAUGGAGGAAAUGUCUAAAUUAUAGUUAUGGAAAAAUUAUUUGAUUUUAUUUCAAAAAAAAACAGUGAGGAAUGAAGAACUAAUACUUUCAAAAUGUAGACUCUAGGCCAGGUGUGAGCCACCAUGCCCAGCCAAGGGAUACCAGUUUUAAUCCUGUAUGCUGUGCAUGAGAGUUCUAGUUGCUCCAUUGCCUCAUCAACACUUGGUAUUGUCAGUCUGUUUUUAAUUUUAGCCAUUCUAUGAUAUUUAGUGGUUCUAAUUUUAAUUUACCUAAUGACUAAUGAAGUAAUUUUUCACAUAUUUAAUGAUUAUUUGAAAACCUUCUUUUGUAAAGUACCUGUUAAUGACUUUUGUCAACUUUUCUAUUGUGAUAUAUAUAUUUUUGUCUUGAUUAGUAGGACUUUUAUAUCUAUUCUGGGUAGGGAUACUUUGAGAUUAUAUGUAUUGUAAAUAUCUUCUCCCAUCAGGUGGUUUGCUACUUUCCGUCUGUUGGUGGUGUCUUUUGAUAACCAAAAGUCGCUAAUUUAUUAAAGUUUAAUUUAUCUAUUUAAAAAAAAAGUUGACACAUUUAGAUUCACUUCACUCACUUUAAAAUCUAAUUUGUCUAUAACCUCUUUAAUAAGACUUCCAGAACGUGUUUUCUGCUGGAACUGCUCUUUUCAAUGUCAGCAAUUAUCCCAUUCCUAAAUUCAAUGGACACUUUCUUUUCUAAUCUUCGAUUUAUCAGCAGAACUGGAUUCAGGUGACUUCUCUCUCCUCCUCAAUGAAUCAAGUUCUUUUGGAUUAUGUGAAACAAUAUUCUCCUGGUUUCACUGUAUCUCUUUGAACGACUUUCAGUUUCUUGCACUACCUGCUCUCAUCCAGAUUCUAAAUAUUGAAGUUCCUCAGGGCUUGAUCCCAGGUUCUUUUAGAAAAAAAAAAAAAUAAAAAUCAAGUUACUUAUCUCACAGUUUUUUCCUUAUCUGCUUCCAUCACUUUAAUAGCCUCUCUAGCUGGUGAUUCCCAAAUAUAGAUGCCUCCAGUUUUGGCUAUUUCCAAGGUUCAUAUGUUUUCUUUUUGUUUUCUUCACUGGGAUAUCUCUAGAUUAUCCUUGAUUUCUCUCUUUCCUUCAUAGCCUUCUCCUCCCUCAUUCUACCAUCGAAUGCACUGAUACUUGAAUUAGAAAUAUUUCAAGAUAUGAUGCAAAUCUUCCCUUUGCAAAGGUUUUGGUAUCCAUCACUAUCAUUCCUAAUCUAGGCUGACAUCAUCUUUCACCUAAAGUUUUUGAAAUUACCUCCUACCUUAUCCCCUGAUUCUUCUCUUGUCUUUCCAAACCAUUCCCCACAUAUAAGACACAGUGUUUUUUUAUGUAGAUUUGAUUAUAUUACUCUACUGCUGAAAUUAUUUUAAAAGUUUCCUAUUAUCCUUGGAAUAACAUUUAAUAUCCUUAUGUCCUACAAAGUCCUGCAUGAUCUGGCCUCCCCUUAAAUCUUUAAUUGUACAAAUCUCUGCCUCUCUGUCUUGCUCAUUACUUUCCCAUUGUAGUAUCAGCCUCAAAAAGUUCUUUAAAAAAAUUUCCCCUUCACUGAUACAUAAUAUUUUACAUAAUUAUGGGGUACAUGUGGGUAUUUGUUACAUACAUAGAAUGUAUAAGUCAAAGUAUUUGAGGUAUUCAUCACCUUGAGUAUUUAUUAUUUCUGUUUGUUGGUAAUGUUUCAAAUCCUCUCUUCUAUCCACUUAGAAAUAUAUAACAUACAACAUAGUGUUGCUAAGUAUAAUCACCCUAGUGUUCUAUCAAACAUUACAAUUUAUUUUUUCUGUCUAACAGUAUGUUAGUACCCAUUUGCCAACCCCUCUCCCUUAUUAUGCCACAAUCAAUGUUUCUUGUCUUAGACCCUUAGCACAUCACUCAUCCUGCAGGCACCCUUGCUCUUCACAUGGCUGUCAGCUUCUCUUCAAGUCUCAUCUUACAUGUUGUCACAUUAGAUAUGCCUUCCCUGUCCACCUAAUUUAUAGUCAUCACUGUUAAUUAUUCUCUAUUAACAUUUAAAAAAUGUUUUGAGUGGCUUCCAAAAUUGAUACAAAGUCUGGAGAAGCAAACUCAGAAAAUAGAGAGGAACCAUAAGAAGGUAGAUGACCAGAUGACCUCAGUCUUGGUCACACCACAGAAGCAGCCUAGCCAGAAUGUUGAUGUUAUUCAUUCCUGGGUACUCAUGUCCUGCUGGAUAGUGGUGGCUGUUGUAGACAGUAUAUCUUCUACUCCUGGAAUGAAUCCAGCAUCCUAGAUUCAAGUCCUGAGUACUUCCAUUUGACUGGGGAAGUUACUUUCCAAACAGGCUUAUCCAAGAGCAGAUUUUCAAACGUAGAAAAGGUUCUUAGAUGCUAGGUAAGAAAAAAAUAUAUAAAUGAAACCAAAUGUCUGGUGUAACUGCACGGUGACUUGUGAUUGCAUAUUCACUGAUUUGUCUAUCUUCCAUAUCCCAUGAUUAGUGUGUUAGGUCCAUAGAGGGAGAACAAUGUUUGACUCAUCUCUGUGUUCCUAGAAUCGACUGGAGAGUAAUAGAUGCAUAAUAAAUAUUGAUUCCAUGUCACCCAAAUUAAGAUAACACAGUCUUAGUCAUUUUAAAAUGAAAUGACAGGCAACUAAAGCCCAUGUGACCUUAAAAGAUUUCUUUUCUCUUCAAACUUAGUUUUAGUUUUACCCUUCAAAAAACAUCUGGCUACAUAUCUAAUGCCUCAACUUCAUGAUAUUCUCUCUUAUGUUUGUGGGAAUGGUGAGGGCAGGAGGGUUCCCUUUAUGCAGAGCUAAAUAUCUGACCCUAAUUAGCAAUCUUUUGUAAGAACACACCGAAGUAGGCUACUGGAACAUAGCAAAAAAGUUUUGAUGAAUACAUGUCUUUAGUGAUUUUUAGGUUUUGCUGACCUCCUUAAAAGUUCUCAAGACAUAUUUUGUUCAAAAUUGCAGUGUUCAAGUGCCCCUUAGAGCUCUCUGUGACAUUGAUUUGAUGGCAUUGAGUUUCAAUAAAAAGAAAAGAACAGAGGUAGACUUCAUUUCACAGCCGAAUCCAUUAGAAGAUGUUUUUGGAGGAUUUCCAAACAGAAAAGAGAACAGCUGCUUUCUAUUUUCUCAAAAAAUAUAAUGGUGGAUCCCCUUUCUCACAAUUCUGAUGCUUAACUCACCAAAUUGACUGAAAUAAUGGCAAAAAUGGAGUAGUUUAUUAAUAAUUACUCUCUUUUUCUCAACUUUACCUUGGUUGUGAUGUGGGAUAAAAGGCUUUGAAGUUAUCACACUAGUUCAGUAAAAAACACACAAAAAUGUAAAUGUUCUGUUCAGAAAAAGAAUGGGUUUUAAUUUCUAGCACAGUGAGAAUCAAGUAAAUUACAGAAUGCUGAAGCUUAAAAUAUAUAAUUUUAAAUAAAAUUGGAUUAUAUUAAAGAAUUGAAUAGCUGAAUCGCAUGUUAAAUGAUUAUAUCACUUUUUAAGAAAGCGUUAAACUGUUUUCCAAAGGAGUGGUUUUUAUAUUAUCAACAGCAGUGUAUAAAGUUUCUAUUUCUUCCAGAUCUUGCCAACACUUGGUAUGGCCAGGCUUUUUAAAUUCUAGCCCUUUCAAACAAGUAUGCAGAGGUAUCUCACCGUGGGUUCUUUUUUGUUGUCUUUAAAAAUUUUAUUUUUUAAGCUUAAUUGAGGUAAUUGAUACAGAAAAUGUGGCCUAUAUUUAAUGCAUACAUUUUGAUGAGUUUGAAUAUAUGCAUAACUCCAUGAUACCAUCAUCACAGAACAUUAAACAUAACCAUUACCUCAAAAAAUUCCUUCUGUUCUUAUUUCGUGUGUGUGUGUGUGUGUGUGUGUGUAGUCUGUGUAGUGUGUGUUUAUAGUAAGAAUACUUAACAUGGGUUUUAAGAUCUAUGGUCUUAACAUAGAUUACAGUCUUAACAUUUUAAAGCACACAACACCAUAGUGUCAACUAUAGGUACAGUGCUGUACAGCGGAUCUCUAGAACUUACUCAUCUUGCGUAAGUGAAACUUUACAUCUAUUGAGCAACAGUUUUCCCUAGCCCUUGGCAAACAUCAUUUCAUUCUUUGCCUUUAUGACUUUGAUGAUUUUAGAUAGCUCAUAUAAUUGGAAUUGUUUGCCCUUCUGUGACUGGCUUAUUUCACUUAGCAUAACAUCUUCUGUGUUCAUCCCUGUUGUUGCAAAUGAUACAAUUUUCUUCUUUUUAAGACUGAAUAAUAUUCCUUUGUACCUAUUUAUAUAUCACACUUUGUUUAUUUACUCAUCUGUCAAUGGGCAUUUAGGCUGUUUCCGUAUCUUGAUUAUUGUGAUUAAUGCUGCAAUGAACAUAAAACCACAGAAAAUUCUACAAGAUUCUAACUUAAAUUCUUCUGGAUUUAUACAUCUAGAAGUGGGAUUGCUGGAUUAUAUGGUAGCUCUAUUUUUAAUUUUUUGAAAAACUCUAUACCGUUAACAAUAGUGGCUGUAUAGUUUUACAUUACUAACAACAAUGUAGAAGGGUUCCCUUUCUCCAUACCCUUGCCAAUGGUGGUUAUCUUUUAUUUUUUUUUCAUAGUAACCAUCCUAACAGGUGUAAGGUGAUAUCUAAUUGUGAUAUUGAUUUGCUUUUCUCAGAUGAUUAAUGGUGUUGAUCACCUUUCAUAUACAUCUUAGCCAUUUGUAUGUUUUCUUUGGAUAAAUGUCUAUUCAGGUUGUUUGUUCAUAUUUUUAUUAAGUUAUUUGUUUCUUUGCUAUUGAAACGUAGGAGAUUUUGACAAAAGUCAACACCCUUUCAUGAAAAAAGGGCUCAACAAAUGAAGGUAAAGAAGAAAUGCAUCUCAACACAAUGAAGGCCAUAUAUAUCACGCUCACAGCUAACAUCAUACUCAGUGGUGAAGGACAAAGUUUAUUCUCUAAUAUUGGGAACAAGACAAGAAUAUCCUCUCUUCUAUUCAACAUAAAACUGAAAGUCCUAGCCAGAGCAAUUAGGCAAGAAAAAGAUUUGGAAGGCAUCUAAACCAGAAAGGAAGAAUUAAAAGAAGUAUCUGUUUUUAUUUAUUUAUUUAUUUAUUAUUUAUUAUUUAUUUAUUUAUUUAUUGAGACUGAAUCUGACUCUGUUGCCCAGGCUGGAGUACAGUGGCAAGAUCUCAGCUCA